AUAAGAAACCAACCGUAGGGCUCCCAUUUCCUUUGGCACAGAACCCCUCCCCAAGUAACCUGCUUUCGCCGUCAACUCCUUCCUCUCUGGUUAGGGUUGGCAGGUAACCCCCUUCUCUUCCUCCUUGUCCUUCUCCUCUCUAGCUCACUACCCCUAUUACACCCCACCCCUGUUUUUGUUUUAAAAAUUAUUUUGGGGUCUUAUUUUGUGUGCCCCCGGCCCCAAUCUCUCUUCAUCAUCUCUUUCUCUCUCUUUUCCCUAACUUUCUCCUCUUUACCUGUGCUCUCUCUUUGCAUUUCUCCAUUUGUCCGAGCACCACCCCUACACACCCAUAACUACAAACGACGACAACACCACCCUCUAAUCCAACUUUCUCUCCUUCUCACCACAGUGCAAACAUUUCAUCGAUGAGUUAUCGUUGUUUUCGAAGAAGGUUUGGAUAUGAAAACACUUCAAGAUGGCCUUUCCCAGUUUCCGGAGGACACCCGUGGCUUCCAGGUGGUUUUUCGGCCAACUCCGGGCACGAUGACAAGAACCAAGGGACUUAGAAUCGAGGCAUACAAUCCCGGCGUCAAGGCACUUCCGCAUCAGCA